UGACUUUCCGUGCAUGGAAAGUGGUUUUGACGAUAAGAAUGAUGCUGAUGAGGCUGCCAGCAGAGGAACACCAUUUCAGAGCUUUUUUCUCAGGGAAUCAAGGCAAAAAGAAGGCAAGAAAGAAAUCAGAAGCAAUGAUGACCUGCUUUGAACUGGAAGGAAAACGGCUGGGGGAGGAGUUGUACCAUCUAUGAGGUGCAUAUCAUGGUAUCAAAAACACAGCUUUGAUGGGCGCGGUGGCUCACGCCUGUAAUCCCAGCACACUGGGAGGCCGAGGC